UGACCUGUGACCUCGUCGCUUUGUCAAAAAAUCUCGACACUGACGGAAAUGGGGAAAUCUCGAUCGCAGAGUUCAGGACCUACAUGAUGAACCUCUACACCAACUGUGUUACAGCUCACGGCAACUGAUGUCCACUGUGAAAUAAAACAUCGUGAUCGACAUUC